rnacentral:lncRNA from 1 species
GAACGUGGCACCCGAUUCCCUAAUCUCACUACUUUCGUUCAUCAACCCUUCUUUUAUACGAAGGCAUCAUCAUUAACAAAGUAGAUUAGGGUUUCUUUUCAAGAUUUAGGAUUCAAUAGCUUCAUCAUGCUUAUUAUAUCACAAUUUCAUAAUCACAUUCAUGCAAGCAUACAAUUAAGCAUAUAGAAGGGUUUACAAUACUAUCAAUACAUAUCAUUCGCUAUUAAGAGUUUACUACGAAUAGCAUAAAAUAACCAUAACCUACCUCCACCGAAGAUUCGUGAUCAAGCAAGCAAUUUCCCAAGCUUUGUUUCUCUUCGUUUCUCCUCUUUCUCGUUCGACUCUCUCUCUCUCUCUUUCUCUUGUUCUUUCUAUUUCCUUUAUUCAAAACCCUCUUUCUUUUACCCUAAUUAGCAUAUAAUUAAGAAUAAAAGAUGGCAAUAAUAACCCACUAAUUAACUUAAGGUUACCUCUUUUAACCCCCAAGUAAUUAGACUUAUUAACAUUAACCCACUAACUUUAUAAUUAAGGCAGGAAUAGUCAAAAACGUCCCUUAAAACAAUUAAGGAAAUCCGACUCAGACUGGGAUUACGCAGCCUGUGACGGCCCGUCGCGCCUGCGACGGUCCGUCCUGCUGCUCCGUCACAGAGUUCAGAGACUCAAUUUCUCUGAAGAGUCUGUGACGGUCCGUCACACCUGUGAUGGUCCGUCCUGCCAUUUCGUUACGAAGUUCAGAGAGUCAAUUUCAGUACCCAAAUUUUAGAAUUUCUAAGUGUUUUGAAACGAGACUCCCUCGAUGGUCCGUCGUGCUCAUGACGGUCCGUCGUGGGGUCCGUCAUCUCUGCCAGUUUUCCAGAAUAAAAUUUGCUGCUCAAAACGACUAAACAGGUUUUUACGAUAGAUACCAAUUUACCCAUCGUUCAUCCUCGAACGAUCAAGAAGAAAACAAGGGCGGGAGGGAGUACCUGAAUCUUUAAACAGAUGUGGGUAUCUUUCUUGCAUAUCGGCCUCCUUCUCCCAAGUGGCUUCUUCAACCGGCCGAUUCUUCCAUUGCACCUUGAUGGAUGCAAUCUCCCUUGACCUCAACUUGCAAACUUCUCUAUCUAAAAUAGCAACAGGCUCCUUCUCAUAAGACAAAUUUUCGUCAACGAAAACUGAAUCCCAACGGAUAAUGUAGUUUCCAUCCCCAUGGUAUCUUUUCAACAUAGACACAUGAAAUACCGGAUGUACUCCGGACAGCCCUGGAGGCAAGGCUAAUUCGUAAGCCACCUCCCCUACUCGCUUAAGCAAUUCAAAGGGACCAAUAUACCUUGGGCUUAGUUUACCUCUUUUACCAAACCGCAUCACCCCUUUCAUGGGUGAAACCUUCAACAAGACUUGUUCACCCUCCAUGAACUCUAAGUCUCUAACCUUUCGAUCUGCAUAUUCUUUUUUCUAGCUUUGCGCCGCCAAAAGCUUUUCUUGAAUAGAUUUCACUUUCUCUAAAGAAUCCCUCAAAAGGUCCGUACCCCAAGGUCUAACCUCAAAUGCAUCAAACCAACCAAUGGGGGACCUACAUCUCCUACCAUACAAUGCUUCAAAUGGAGCCAUAUCAAUACUUGAGUGAUAGCUAUUGUUGUAGCAGAACUCUGCUAAGGGUAAGAAGCUAUCCCAAUGGCCACCAAACUCUAUCACACAUGCACGAAGCAUAUCCUCCAACACUUGAAUCGUUCGCUCAGACUGACCAUCGGUCUGAGGAUGGAAUGCAGUACUAAGGUCCAACCUAGUACCCAAUUCCGCAUGCAAUGUUUUCCAAAACAUAGAAGUAAACUGCGUACGUCUAUCUGAUAUAAUGGAGAGUGGAACCCCAUGCAAUCGCACCAUUUCCGAGAUGUAAAGUUUGGCUAACUUCUAUGCAUUGUAAGUCACCUUGACCGGAAUGAAAUGAGCAGAUUUAGUUAACCUAUCAACAAUCACCCAAAUAGAGUCAUACUUUCUCAUUGUCGUUGGAAGACCAACCACAAAAUCCAUUGCAAUUCUCUCCCACUUCCAUUCAGGAAUGGGCAUUCUCUGAAGUGUUCCUCCGGGCCUCUGGUUUUCAUACUUUACUUGUUGACAGUUUGGACAUUUGGCAAUAAAGUCAAAAAUAUCACGCUUCAUUCUACUCCACCAAAAGUGUUGCUUUAGGUCACGGUACAUUUUGGUUGCACCCGGAUGUAUAGAAUACCUUGAACUAUGAGCCUCUGUCAGAAUAGUGUUGAUCAAAUCAUCAACUCGGGGUACACAUACCCUUCCCUUAAUUCUCAAAACACCUUCCUCAUCGAUUGUUGCUUCCUUAGCCUCUCCUCGCAACACCUUAUCUUGGAUUCUGCUUAGUUUCUCAUCAUUAAACUGUUUUCCCUUAAUCUUGUCAAGAAAAGAAGAUCUUGCCUCCACACAAGCCAACAAUCCUCCCUUCUCAUUUACUUCUAACCUCAUCAAGUCGUUAGCCAGAGUCUGAACCUCUCUAGCCAAUGGACGUUUAGAAACUUGCAAGUGAGCUAGACUUCCCAUGCUUCCUGCCUUUCUACUUAAGGCAUCUGCCACAACAUUAGCCUUUCCCGGAUGAUACAAGAUAGUGAUAUCGUAGUCCUUUAGUAGCUCCAUCCAUCUCUUCUGUCUCAAGUUCAAAUCUUUCUGAGUAAAGACAUACUGAAGGCUACGAUGAUCCAUGUAGACCUCACACUUAACCCCAUAUAAAUAGUGUCUCCAUUGCUUUAAUGCACACACUACCACAGCCAAUUCCAAAUCAUGAGUUGGAUAGUUACGUUCAUGCACUUUUAAUUGCCUCGAAGCAUAAGCAAUCACAUUCUUCUCUUGCAUUAGUACUGCACCCAAACUAGAAUAGGAUGAAUCACAAUAAACAAUGAAGUUCUUACCCUCUACGGGCAAGGUGAGAAUGGGUGCGGUAGUCAACAAAGUCUUGAGCUUCUGAAAGCUUUCUUCACACUCGUCCGACCAUACAAAUGGAACAUUCUGCUUAGUAAAGUUCGUCAAUUGGGAAGCAAUGGAAGAGAAUCCCUUGACAAAUCGGCGGUAGUAGCUAGCUAACCCAACAAAACUCCUUAUUUCUGACACAUUAGUAGGUCUUACCCAAUUCUUCACUGUCUCAAUCUUAGAAGGAUCUACCAUCACUCCAUCCUUAGAAACCACGUGCCCCAAGAAGGACACUGCAUCUAGCCAAAACUCACACUUAGAGAACUUGGCAUAAAGCUUUUUCUCCCUCAACAUUUCCAAUACAAUUCUCAAAUGCUCCUCAUGUUCCUUCUUACUUUUAGAGUAUAUCAGUAUAUCAUCAAUAAAUACGAUCACGAAGAGGUCCAAAUAUGGCUUAAAAUCCCGUUCAUCAAGAUCAUGAACGCAGCAGGGGCAUUCUUAAGACCAAAAGACAUCACUACAAAUUCGUAAUUCCCAUACCUCGUUCGAAAAGUAGUCUUUGGCACAUCCAUUGCCCGUAUUUUCAACUGAUGAUAACCGGAUCUCAAGUCAAUCUUAGAGAAGACACAAGCACCUUGUAACUGAUCGAACAAGUCAUCAAUGCGAGGAAGAGGAUACUUGUUCUUAAUAGUUACCUUGUUCAACUACCGGUAGUCUAUACACAUCCGAAAACUCCCAUCCUUCUUCUUCACAAACAAAACCAGAGCACCCCAAGGAGACGCACUUGGUCUAAUGAAGUCUUUGCUUAGCAACUCUUGAAUUUGGGCCUUUAAUUCUCUUAACUCUGCGGGAGCCAUCCUAUAAGGGGGUAUAGAAAUGGGGCGAGUGCCCGGUUCAAGAUCAAUGCAGAAGUCAAUAUCCCUAUCUGGUGGCAUACCAGGAAGAUCUGCAGGGAACACAUCCAAAAACUCACAGACUACUGAAACCGACUCAAUCGAGGGUGCUUGAGUAGUGUCAUCCUUGAGAUGUGACAAGAAAGCUAAAAACCCUUUACUAACCAUUUUCUUAGCACGAAGAAAAGAGAUGAUACGAACCGGAUUGGAAGCGUAGUCGCCCUCCCACACUAACGGAUCUGUCCCAGGCUUGGCUAACGUCACAGUUUUAGCAUUACAAUCCAAGAUCGCAAAAUUCGGAGAAAGCCAAGUCAUACCCAGAAUUACAUCAAAAUCAACCAUUUCUAAGAUAACCAAGUCUACAUAAGUGUUACUCCCCACAAAAGUUACCAAACAAGACCUAUAUACUUUUUCAACUAUCACAGACUCGCCCACCGGAGUAGAAACACGAAUAGGCAUGUCAAGUAAUUCACAAGGUAAAUUUAGACCAUUAGCAAAUGAAGAAGAUACAUAAGAAAAUGUGGAUCCUGGAUCAAACAAUACCGAAUCCAUGCAACCACAAACCGAAAGGUUACCUGUGAUGACAGCAUCAGAUGUCUCCGCCUCAGAUCUCCAAAGGAAAGCGUAACAAUGGGCCCUCUCACCUGUCUAUCCAUUGCCCCUACCAUUUUGUGAUGUAGUUGCUCCAGUUUGCCCAUCACCCCGACUGUUUUAGUGACCACCAUUACCUCGACCACCACGUCCUCCAAAAUGAUGGCCUCUUCCAUAACCACCUCUACCUCUAACAUUUGGAGGUCUGUAACUCUGUUUUGGACAAUACCUCUUGAUGUGUCCAGUCUCCCCACAUCCAUAACACUCUCUGGAUUCAAGCAUAGGUCUCUCAGAGAAGUGUUGACCGGUCUGAGGUGGACCCCCAACUACAGUCUGUAGUGAAGACUGAAUUGGUCGGACUGAGUAACCUCCUGAACCUUGUCCUCUAGAGUAAGAUCCAUUAAAAUCACCUCCCUUUAGAAACCUCUUUGAUGUCGUCGCCAUAGUGAAGUCAUCUGGCUUCACUCCCUCUACCUCUAUCACGAAGUCUACCAUUUCUUGAAAAGAUUUUGCCGUAGCUGCUACCUGCAAGGCUGAAAUCCGUAAUUCUGAUCUCAACCCCUUCACAAAAUGACGAAUCCGCUCUUGUGGACUGAAACAAAGUUGGGUGGCAUAUCUGGAUAGUGCACGAAACAUCGCCUCAUAAGCAGUAACUGACAUCCGACCUUGCUCUAGGCUCAAGAACUCAUCUCUUUUCCUAUCCCUCAAAGUCCGGGGGAUAUACUUCUCCAUAAACAAGCUAGAGAAUAAGGCCCAAGUCAUAGGUGGUGCCUUUGUUGGUUGACAUUUGACAUGUGACCGCCACCACAUUUUGGCGUUCCCUUGAAACUGAUAAGUCACAAACUCAACACCAAACCGUUCUACUAUACCCAUCUUGUGUAGUAGCUCAUGACAGUCAACCAGAAAGUCGUAGGCAUCCUCAGAUUCAGCACCCUUGAAGUCGGGAGGUUUCAAUUUCAAGAACUUACUGAAAAGUUCAUGCUGAUCAUUUGUCAUUAUAGGCCCCGUAGUAAGACGAGGAAAGGUGCCUAUCUCCAAUGAGGCAUCCAUGCGGGGAGCCAUAGUAGCCACAUAUUGUACCUCUGUUAUCGGAGGUGUUGGUGCAGAAAAUACCGGAGGUGCCUGACCCUGAUCAGAUAACCCGCUAAGGUAAGCAAGAACCUGAUUGAUCAUCUCUGGGGUAGGUUGGGGUGGCAAUUCCUCAUUUUGCACUUGUUCAUUCUCCCCUUCCCCACCCUCUCUUACUACUUCCUCAGUCGGUGGAGGAGUCACUUCCCUAGUAUCAGAUGGGCUAGGUGCUCUUCCUCUUCCUCUAGAGGACGUCCUCCCAUGACCUCUUCCACGGCCUCUUGCCGCUGCUCUUCCUCGAGCUACAACCCCAGUGGCUGGCUCAGAUGUAUCUUGUCUUGCCGAUGUUGAUGUUGGCGCGGUUGUUGCUCUAGUUCUAACCAUCUGCGAAAUAGAGUGAAGAUGGUCAUAUACCAAUUUGUAUCACCUAGAUACCAAUUGGACCCAAGUAAUAGCACGAAAGAAAAAAGAAAGAAUGGAAUUUUCCUAAAGUCUUAUAGCCUCUCAAAGAAAAGUAAAGGCGUCCCCCUACCGUUCCUUAAGACUCUACUAGACUCGUUCUUGUGUGAUGAGACCAACGUACCUAAUGCUCUGAUACCAAGUUUGUCACGACCCAAAUCUGGGCCGCGACUGGCACCCACACUUAACCUCCUAUGUGUGUGAACCAACCAAUCUAAACUCUAACAUUUCAAUAUAAUAUCAAUAGUAAAUAAUGCGGAAGACUUAAACUCAUUAAAUAAAACCAAUUCAUUAACUUCUAAAAUUCAACAUCUAUUAUUCCCCAAAAUCUGGAAGUCAUCACCACAAGAACAUCUAUCUCAAUUACUAAACUAAGAGUAUUCUAAGAAGCUAAAACAAGUAAAAGCUAGUCUAUUCCGGAACUUCAAGGCAUCAAGACAUGAAGAGGAGGAUCCAGUCCAAGCUAGAAGCAUUAGCUCACCCUGGUAUCCGGAGUAAUGAAGACUGGCUAGAAUUGCUGUUGAGUUGAAAAAGACGGCACGUUUGCUGCACUCCACAUAUAACAAAGAAGAAAAUGUAAAAGUAGGGAUCAGUACAAAACACGGGUACUGAGUAGAUAUCAUCGGCCAACUCAAAAUAGAAAAUAGUAUAUAUCAAGUAAUAUCAUAAAAUCAACUAAUAUCCUUAGCAUGCAACAUUUACAAUUACCAUAACCCUUGGUCACAACACCAAGCACAUCAAUGAGGACUCACGCCUCCUCAUCAUACUCACUUGGGAAUUAGGUUCAUUAGAUUGAGUAUAUUAACAUCUUUCAAGAUUCAUUAUCUUUAUUCCUCUCGUGUCGGUACGUGACACUCCGCUCCUCAUAUACUAUCCUGGUGUUGGAACGUGACAUUCCGAUCCUCAUUCUAUCCUGGUGUCGGAAUGUGACACCUGAUCCAUAUUCUAUCCUGGUACUGGAACGAGGCACCCGAUCCAUAUACUAUCCUGGUGUCAGAACGUGACACUCUGAUCCUCAUAUACUAUCCUGGUACCGGAACGUGGCACCCGGUCCAUACUCUAUCCUGGUACCGGAACGUGGCACCCGAUCCAUAUACUAUCCUGGUGUCGAAACGUGACACUCUGAUCCUCAUAUACUAUCCUGGUACCGGAACAUGGCACCCGAUCCCCUAAUCUCACUACUUUCUUUCAUCAAGCCUUCUUUUAUACCAAGGCAUCAUCAUUUACAAAGUAGAUUAGGGUUUCUUUUCAAGAUUUAGUAUUCAAUAGCUUCAUCAUGCUUAUUAUAUCACAAUUUCAUAAUCACAUUCAUGCAAGCAUACAAUUAAGCAUAUAGAAGGGUUUACAAUACUAUCAAUACAUAUCAUUCGCUAUUAAGAGUUUACUACGAAUAACAUAAAAUAACCAUAACCUACCUCCACCGAAGAUUCGUGAUCAAGC